rnacentral:rRNA from 1 species
UACAGAGGGUGCAAGCGUUAAUCGGAUUUACUGGGCGUAAAGCGUGCGUAGGCGGUUCGCUAAGUCGGUUGUGAAAUCCCUGGGCUUAACCUGGGAACUGCAGUCGAUACUGGCGGACUAGAGUACGGUAGAGGGUGGCGGAACUCCGGGUGUAGCGGUGAAAUGCGUAGAGAUGUGGAGGAACACCGAUGGCGAAGGCAGCCCCCUGGGCCAAUACUGACGCUCAUGCACGAAAGCGUGGGGAGCAAACAGG